rnacentral:rRNA from 1 species
CCUACGGGUGGCAGCAGUGAGGAAUAUUGGUCAAUGGCCGAGAGGCUGAACCAGCCAAGUCGCGUGAGGGAAGAAUGUCCUAUGGAUUGUAAACCUCUUUUGUCAGGGAGCAAAGUCACCCACGUGUGGGUGUUGGAGAGUACCUGUAGAAAAAGCAUCGGCUAACUCCGUGCCAGCAGCCGCGGUAAUACGGAGGAUCCAAGCGUUAUCCGGAUUUAUUGGGUUUAAAGGGUGCGUAGGCGGAUUGAUAAGUUAGAGGUGAAAUGUCCGAGCUUAACUCGGGAACUGCCUCUAAUACUGUUGAGCUAGAGUGUAGAUGCGGUAGGCGGAAUGUAUGGUGUAGCGGUGAAAUGCUUAGAGAUCAUACAGAACACCGAUUGCGAAGGCAGCCUACUAAUCUAUAUCUGACGUUGAGGCACGAAAGCGUGGGGAGCAAACAGGAUUAGAUACCCUUGUAGUC